rnacentral:rRNA from 1 species
GAUGAACGCUGGCGGCGUGCCUAAUACAUGCAAGUCGAGCGAACAGACGAGGAGCUUGCUCCUCUGACGUUAGCGGCGGACGGGUGAGUAACACGUGGAUAACCUACCUAUAAGACUGGGAUAACUUCGGGAAACCGGAGCUAAUACCGGAUAAUAUAUUGAACCGCAUGGUUCAAUAGUGAAAGACGGUUUUGCUGUCACUUAUAGAUGGAUCCGCGCCGCAUUAGCUAGUUGGUAAGGUAACGGCUUACCAAGGCAACGAUGCGUAGCCGACCUGAGAGGGUGAUCGGCCACACUGGAACUGAGACACGGUCCAGACUCCUACGGGAGGCAGCAGUAGGGAAUCUUCCGCAAUGGGCGAAAGCCUGAAGGAGCAAAGCCGCGUGAGUGAUGAAGGGCUUCGGAUCGUAAAACUCUGUUAUUAGGGAAGAACAAAUGUGUAAGUAACUAUGCACGUCUUGACGGUACCUAAUCAGAAAGCCACGGCUAACUACGUG